GAUGAACGCUGGCGGCGUGCUUAACACAUGCAAGUCGAACGAAGCAUUUGCGACAGAUUUUUUCGGAAUGAAGUUGCUUAUGACUGAGUGGCGGACGGGUGAGUAACGCGUGGGUAACCUGCCUUGUACUGGGGGAUAGCAUCUGGAAACGGCUGGUAAUACCGCAUAAGCGCACAAUGUUGCAUGACAUGGUGUGAAAAACUCCGGUGGUAUAAGAUGGACCCGCGUCUGAUUAGCUAGUUGGUGAGAUAACAGCCCACCAAGGCGACGAUCAGUAGCCGACCUGAGAGGGUGACCGGCCACAUUGGGACUGAGACACGGCCCAGACUCCUACGGGAGGCAGCAGUGAGGAAUAUUGCACAAUGGAGGAAACUCUGAUGCAGCGACGCCGCGUGAGUGAAGAAGUAAUUCGUUAUGUAAAGCUCUAUCAGCAGGGAAGAUAGUGACGGUACCUGACUAAGAAGCUCCGGCUAAAUACGUG
rnacentral:rRNA from 1 species